UACGUAGGUGGCAAGCGUUGUCCGGAUUUACUGGGCGUAAAGAGCGCGCAGGCGGCUGAUUAAGUCUGAUGUGAAAGCCCACGGCUUAACCGUGGAGGGUCAUUGGAAACUGGUCAACUUGAGUGCAGAAGAGGGAAGUGGAAUUCCAUGUGUAGCGGUGAAAUGCGUAGAGAUAUGGAGGAACACCAGUGGCGAAGGCGGCUUCCUGGUCUGUAACUGACACUGAGGCGCGAAAGCGUGGGGAGCAAACAGG
rnacentral:rRNA from 1 species